UACGGUAGGGUGCGAGCGUUGUCCGGAAUUAUUGGGCGUAAAGAGCUCGUAGGCGGUGUGUUACGUCGGCCGUGAAAACCUGCAGCUUAACUGUGGGCGUGCGGUCGAUACGGGCAUCACUGGAGUUCGGCAGGGGAGACUGGAAUUCCUGGUGUAGCGGUGAAAUGCGCAGAUAUCAGGAGGAACACCGGUGGCGAAGGCGGGUCUCUGGGCCGAUACUGACGCUGAGGAGCGAAAGCGUGGGGAGCGAACAGG
rnacentral:rRNA from 1 species